rnacentral:lncRNA from 1 species
AAGAGGAAGGAGAAGCCAGGAGGUGGGGUGGGACAGUCUUCCUCUGGGAGAGUCCCUAAGAGGGCCAGAGAGAGAGAGAGAGAGAGGGCUGGGGACUGGAAGACACCAGGGGAGAGCGGGUAUGGUCAGAGCUCCAAUGGACACGGUGUCCUGGAGGGUCAGGUCAAGAGAGACUUGUGCUGCUGGCUGGGCUCCAGCUGGGCCAGUGAGGCCUAGAGAAGGGCAGGGACUUGCCCAAGGCCGCAGUACAUAUGGGGGACAGAGAUGGGCUCCUAGAUCCUGCCACCAGGCACAGAGAAGGGCAAGAGAGGCCAGAGAGGAAAGGAGGAAAGAGGCUCAUGGAGCGGGGGCGCCAGUCUCUGUUUAGAGGGGCCAGGAGCCCCAGUGUGCUUCCCAGAGGCCAGCUAGAGCUUCCCAGGAGCACCAUGGGUGGUGCUGGGACUUCUACAGGACUCAGCAUGACUCAAAGGGCCCUGGGGAAUGCAUUCUGUUCCCCAGUCUCCCACCCUCCACCUGCCAGAAUGACAGAGGCUCCCCCAUGGAGAUUCCUGGCAUGCCCAGCCCCACGUCUGGGUUGAGAGUAGUGACUCAGAAGAAAAUGAAGGCUACUGCUAGCAACCAAAUGAGGGGACACCCCUGGGAGACUGUGAUCCUCUCCUCCAGGCUACUUUCCCACUGGUGCCAGGAUUCCCCCAACGCCACACUGAGAACCCAG